AAAGAGCCCUCGGAGAAUCUUUGAAGAGGAACAGCCAAUGAGAAAGAGUAGAAAUGGGGUGAUAACUGUUGUAGAACCGGAGGGAAGAGAGUGAGUGUUUCAAGAGGAUCACAGUCGUUAAAAGUGUCAGAUGUCCUCAGGAAGGCACCUAACAGGAAACGUGCUUUUCGUUCCAGGCCUACUUUUUCUGGAAGCUUGGCACAGAGGUCACGUGCAGGUCAUGAACCUUCCCCCAGAUAUGUGGAAUCUGAUCCCCGUGCUUUGCACCCUUAUGCAUCAUGGCUGCCAGCCCCAUCUCAGAAUCCGGUUCUGACACCACCCAUGUUUCCACACUCAGCAUUGCUGCCUCUCCCGUUCCUUGCCAUGGCCCUGAAGCUGCCCUCCAGAAAAAACCCGUGUUGGGGCACCUGGCUGGCUCAGUGGGUAGAGCAUGCGACUCAAGAGUCUCAGGGUUGUGAGUUCAAGCCCACAUGGGGUGUCGGGGUUACUUAAAAUUGGAAGUGGAGGGGCGCCUGGGCGGCGCAGUCGGUUAAGCGUCCGACUUCAGCCAGGUCACGAUCUCGCGGUCCG
rnacentral:lncRNA from 1 species